GAAAUGCUGGCUGGCCUCUGUAAGCUGCUUGAAGAGUGACGCACUUUCACUUUUAAGCUGUUCAACCUGCUCAGGAUUUAACAUGUAGAUGGUCAUAAUCUCGAAACAAGUUUUGCAUCAUCGUGUGGCAAGGCCCUACUGAGAAUAUGGUGCCAGGGCAGAGAACAAGGCUGCAGACAGUCAAUUUUCGUUUGAAUCAAAGAGUGUACCUGCAACUCGAGGUCAGUUAAUUGUGCGUGCUUUCUCCUCCUCGAUCGCCGAGCUGACUCCCUGUUGGACACCAUCCUGAAAUUUGGCACAGAUCAAAAGGCAUGCCAAAUGUACCGGAGACGGCCGCUGUUUGCGAACCCAUUGUCGACGAGACAGCAGGGUGCGGCGCACAGACACCGUCGGACCACCACUGAUGGCCGGCGUCGCUCCCUUCCAGUUCCAGGGCU